rnacentral:rRNA from 1 species
CACGUAGGGGGCAAGCGUUGUCCGGAUUUAUUGGGCGUAAAGAGCUCGUAGGUGGCUCAGUAAGUCGGGUGUGAAACCUCCAGGCUCAACCUGGAGACGCCACCCGAUACUGCUGUGGCUUGAGUCCGGUAGGGGAGCGUGGAAUUCCUGGUGUAGCGGUGAAAUGCGCAGAUAUCAGGAGGAACACCAGCGGCGAAGGCGGCGCUCUGGGCCGGAACUGACGCUGAGGAGCGAAAGCGUGGGUAGCAAACAGG